rnacentral:rRNA from 1 species
UACGUAGGGUGCGAGCGUUAAUCGGAAUUACUGGGCGUAAAGCGUGCGCAGGCGGUUGAUUAAGUCUGAUGUGAAAGCCCCGGGCUCAACCUGGGAAUGGCAUUGGAAACUGGUCAGCUGGAGUGUGGCAGAGGGGGGUGGAAUUCCGCGUGUAGCAGUGAAAUGCGUAGAGAUGCGGAGGAACACCGAUGGCGAAGGCAGCCCCCUGGGUCGACACUGACGCUCAGGCACGAAAGCGUGGGGAGCAAACAGG